rnacentral:ribozyme from 18 species
CAUGGAAUACAAGAAAGAAGUAAGAAAACAGAAUGAAUGAACGUGUUGAGUCUGGAGGGUCGUCAGAUUGAUUGUUUCGAAACCAGUUUCGUAUGCCUCAUAUAUUUUCCUUUCUUUUGUCGUUGUUC